rnacentral:rRNA from 1 species
GACGAACGCUGGCGGCGUGCUUAACACAUGCAAGUCGACAUGAGUGGCGAACGGGUGAGUAAUACGUGGGUAACCUGCCCUCCUUUUUGGGAUAAGCCUUGGCAACGGGGUAUAAUACCGAAUAAAGGGGGAUGGGCUCGCGGCCUAUCGGCGUGUUGGUGGGGUGAUGGGCUACCAAGGCGGUGACGGGUGGCCGGCCUGAGAGGGUGACCGGCGACAUGGGAACGGCGAUACGGCCCAGGGUCGGACGAGAGGGAGCAGUGGGGGCUAUUGCACAAUGGGCGAAAGCCUGAUGCAGCGACGCCGCGUGGGGGAUGAAGGUUUUCGGGUUGUAAACUUCUGUCGCUAUCGAGCGGGUAGCUGGAGAAGAAGCGCCGGCUAACUACGUGCCAGCAGCCGCGGUAAUUC